rnacentral:rRNA from 1 species
UACGGGGGGGGCAAGCGUUGUUCGGAAUUACUGGGCGUAAAGGGCGCGUAGGCGGCUUUUCAAGUCGGGCGUGAAAUCUCCAGGCUUAACCUGGAAGGGUCGUUCGAUACUGUUAAGCUAGAGUGUGGAAGAGGCUACUGGAAUUCCAUGUGUAGCGGUGAAAUGCGUAGAGAUCCGGAGGAACACCAGCGGCGAAGGCGGCAUCCUGGACUGGUCCUGACACUCAGGAGCGAAAGCGUGGGGAGCGAUCCGG